rnacentral:rRNA from 1 species
GGCGUGUGAGUGGCGUGAUCUAGACCCGAAGCGAAGUGAUCUACCCAUGGCCAGGAACGAUUUCGUCCUGGGUCUGCCGGCCCGGGCGUGUGAGUGCAGGGCGAUAGUCGAACCGGUGUGAGUGCCGGGCCGUAGAGGGUGGAAGUCCCGUAGACGAAAUCGUUGCUGCCGCAUGGAGCGCGUGCCCAAGUAGCACGGGGCCCGAGGAAUCCCGUGUGAAUCUGCCAGGACCACCUGGUAAGCCUAAAUACUCCCUGAUGACCGAUAGCGGACCAGUACCGUGAGGGAAAGGUGAAAAGUACCCCGGGAGGGGAGUGAAAUAGUACCUGAAACCGUGCGCCUACAAUCCGUCGGAGCCCUGCGGGGUGACGGCGUGCCUUUUGAAGAAUGAGCCUGCGAGUUAGUGUUACGUCGCGAGGUUAACCCGUGAGGGGUAUCCGUAGCGAAAGCGAGUCCGAACAGGGCGUGUGAGUGGCGUGAUCUAGACCCGAAGCGAAGUGAUCUACCCAUGGCCAGGUUGAAGCGCGUGUAAGAGCGCGUGGAGGACCGAACCCACUUCAGUUGAAAAUGGAGGGGAUGAGCUGUGGGUAGGGGUGAAAGGCCAAUCAAACUUCGUGAUAGCUGGUUCUCCCCGAAAUGCAUUUAGGUGCAGCGUUGCGUGUUUCUUGCCGGAGGUAGAGCUACUGGAUGGCCGAUGGGCCCUACAAGGUUACUGACGUCAGCCAAACUCCGAAUGCCGGUAAGUGAGAGCGCAGCAGUGAGACUGUGGGGGAUAAGCUUCAUAGUCGAGAGGGAAACAGCCCAGACCACCAACUAAGGCCCCUAAGCGUGUGCUAAGUGGGAAAGGAUGUGGAGUUGCUCAGACAACCAGGAGGUUGGCUUAGAAGCAGCCAUCCUUGAAAGAGUGCGUAAUAGCUCACUGGUCGAGUGGUUUUGCGCCGACAAUGUAGUGGGGCUCAAGCACACCGCCGAAGCCGCGGCAAAUAUUUUUGAUAUUUGGGUAGGGGAGCGUCGUGCAUGGGUUGAAGCAAUACUGUAAGGAGUUGUGGACUGUGUGCGAGUGAGAAUGCAGGCAUGAGUAACGAAUUGGACAGUGAGAAUCUGUCCCGCCGGAUGACUAAGGGUUCCUGGGUCAAGUUCGUCUUCCCAGGGUGAGUCGGGACCUAAGGCGAGGCCGACAGGCGUAGUCGAUGGACAACCAGUUGAUAUUCUGGUACCCGUAUAUGCGCGCCCGUGGUAAAGCAUUGAUACUAACCACCCACAAGCAUGUUCUGGUUGCCUUCGGGUUACUGGUUCUGUGUGCGUGCGUGGGGCCUGAUAUGUGGUCCAAGCGAUGGGGUGACACAGUGAGGUAGCCAUGCCACUUAUUGGAUUGUUGGUGUAAGCGUGUAGGCCAAGUGAUAGGUAAAUCCGUCACUUAUAUAGGCUAAGGCGUGAUGCGGAGCCUUUUUGGUGAAGUUGGUGAUCCUGUACUGUCGAGAAAAGCCUCUAGCGAUGUGUGUAUAUGGCCCGUACCCCAAACCGACACAGGUAGUCAGGUUGAAAAUACUAAGGCGUUCGGGAUAACUGUGGUUAAGGAAUUCGGCAAAAUGCCCCCGUAACUUCGGAAGAAGGGGGACCAUGCUACGUGAGACUAUUUACUGGUGGAGCGUGGGGUGGUCGCAGAGAAUAGAGGGAAGCGACUGUUUAUCAAAAACACAGGUCCAUGCGAAGACGUUAAGUUGAGGUAUAUGGACUGACGCCUGCCCGGUGCUGGAAGGUUAAGAGGACCGGUUAGAAGACUUGUUCUUCGAAGCUGAGAAUUUAAGCCCCAGUAAACGGCGGUGGUAACUAUAACCAUCCUAAGGUAGCGAAAUUCCUUGUCGGGUAAGUUCCGACCUGCACGAAUGGCGUA